GAGACGUCUGCAAGGCCGCAACAUCUCGCAGCAGCUUUUCGCCUGCUUCCUCCGCUCGCUCUAGAGGGCACAGCAAGAACAAGUGGAGAAACUAACAACCCGUGGAAGAAAAUUCCUAGAAUCCUGGGAUCAAGUCAAAACACCUGAUGGUUUUAGAGGACAGAAUUUUUGGAGAGAAAAACACAACCAGAUGACUCUCUGCACCCCUUUCCCAGGCCAUGGGCACCUGCCUGAUUCCUAUGGUCAUGAAGGAACAUUUUUCUGAUGUGGCCAUAUUCAUGGUGUCAGUGCAAUCUCAUCAGAGAUGAGGCUCCCCACUCAAGCUGCCAUGUGACUUGACAGCUCUUCAUACCGUUCGCUCACCAGAGUGGUGUCCAGUUUCAGGAGCACGGAAGAAAACAGUCGGAGUGCAGUGGCACAAUCAUAGCUCACUGCAGCCU